GAUGAAGAACGUAGCGAAAUGCGAUACGUAAUGUGAAUUGCAGAAUUCAGUGAAUCAUCGAAUCUUUGAACGCACAUUGCACUCUCUGGUAUUCCGGAGAGUAUGCUUGUUUGAGUAUCUGUAAACAUCUCAAAUCUCUCUUCAAUUGCUUCAAUUGGGUCGAGAGAAUUGGAUUUGAGCGAUCCCGACUCCUUCGUCAGAAAGAGGAGGGUCGCUUGAAAUGCAGGUGCAGCUGGACAUGCUUCUGAGCAAAAAGCAUAUCUAUUUAGUCCCGUCAAACGGAUUAUUACUUUUGCUUCAGCUAAUAUAAAGGUUGAAUGAACUACCAACGCUGAUUGCAGGAAAACAUGUUCGUUUAUUCGGACUUGUAAACUCGAUCUCAAAUCAAGUAAGACUACCCGCUGAACUUAAGCAUAUCAAUAAGCGGAGGA
rnacentral:misc_RNA from 1 species